AAGUCGUAACAAGGUUUCCGUAGGUGAACCUGCGGAAGGAUCAUUAUUGAAGUUGCUGAGGGGUUGCUGCUGGCUCUCAGGAGUACUGUGCACGCCCUUCUCACUUUACCUUCAUCCACCUGUGCACACACUGUAGAUCUCGGAUAAAUUUUCGGUCGGAUUUUUUCUAAUCUGGCCGGCUGUGAUUGCUGCUCUUUUGCGAGGGCUUCAGUCCAAUUUCCGGGUUCUACGUCUCUCUCACAUACUCUAAGUAAUGUCAUAGAAUGUAUCGUGGGUCGUAUGACCUCUAAAAUUAUAAUACAACUUUCAACAACGGAUCUCUUGGCUCUC
rnacentral:misc_RNA from 1 species